rnacentral:pre_miRNA from 1 species
AAAGAGUGUAGUUUUGUGUUGUUUAUGUUCAACGUUUGAUCGUCCGUCUUAUUUGAAAAAAUAAAUUAUAAUUAAUAUUUUUAUUGUUAUUAGGUAAUAAAACAUAAGUACUUCCUCCGUUUCAUAUUAUAAGACUUUCUAAUGAAUGUGGGCAAUGUUAGAAAUUCUUAUAACCUGAAACGGAUGUAGUAGUGUUUUAUGUGUGACUAAUUUUUUUUAUAAAUUUUUCAAAUAAGACGAACUGUCAAAUGUUGGACACGGAAAUCAACGACUGCACUAAAA